rnacentral:tRNA from 1 species
GGAGGUGUCACUCAGUGGUAAAGCACGUGCUUGGCAAGCACAAGGUCUUGGGUUCAAUCCCCAGCACCCA